rnacentral:rRNA from 1 species
CCAGAGAACUUAGCAGAGAUGCUUUGGUGCCUUCGGGAACUCUGAGACAGGUGCUGCAUGGCUGUCGUCAGCUCGUGUUGUGAAAUGUUGGUUAAGUCCCGCAACGAGCGCAACCCCUAUCCUUUGUUGCCAGCGAUUCGGUCGGGAACUCAAAGGAGACUGCCGGUGAUAAACCGGAGGAAGGUGGGGAUGACGUCAAGUCAUCAUGGCCCUUACGAGUAGGGCUACACACGUGCUACAAUGGCGCAUACAAAGAGAAGCGACCUCGCGAGAGCAAGCGGACCUCAUAAAAGUGCGUCGUAGUCCGGAUUGGAGUCUGCAACUCGACUCCAUGAAGUCGGAAUCGCUAGUAAUCGUAGAUCAGAAUGCUACGGUGAAUACGUUCCCGGGCCUUGUACACACCGCCCGUCACACCAUGGGAGUGGGUUGCAAAAGAAGUAGAUAGCUUAACCUUCGGGAGGGCGUUUACCACUUUGUGAUUCAUGACUGGGGUGAAGUCGUAACAAGGUAGGCGUAGCGAG